rnacentral:rRNA from 1 species
GCGUAUACAAUCUGCCUUUAAGCGGGGAAUAGCCCAUGGAAACGUGGAUUAAUACCCCAUAGUCUAUAAACUUCACCUGGAGAUUAUAGUAAACAUUUAUGGCUUAAAGAUGAGUAUGCGUCCUAUUAGUUAGUUGGUAAGGUAACGGCUUACCAAGACAGCGAUAGGUAGGGGUCCUGAGAGGGAGAUCCCCCACACUGGUACUGAGACACGGACCAGACUCCUACGGGAGGCAGCAGUGAGGAAUAUUGGACAAUGGAGGCAACUCUGAUCCAGCCAUGCCGCGUGCAGGAAGACGGC